UACAGGGGGGGCAAGCGUUGUUCGGAAUUACUGGGCGUAAAGGGCUCGUAGGUGGCCAACUAAGUCAGACGUGAAAUCCCCUCAGCUUAACUGGGGAACUGCGUCUGAUACUGGAUGGCUUGAGUUUGGGAGAGGGAUGCGGAAUUCCAGGUGUAGCGGUGAAAUGCGUAGAUAUCUGGAGGAACACCGGUGGCGAAGGCGGCAUCCUGGACCAACACUGACACUGAGGAGCGAAAGCCAGGGGAGCAAACGGG
rnacentral:rRNA from 1 species